GUUGCGGUGGUCUAGUUUGGUCUAUGAUAAGGGACUGUGGAUCCUUUGACUCGGGUUCAAAUCCCGGCCGCGACC
rnacentral:tRNA from 1 species